ensembl:lncRNA
UCUACACCUGAAAUGGAAUCAGCUGGAGAAGCUCUGUCAGGAUCCCAGAGGGAAGACCCAUUGGAGUUUGAUGCUGAUGAAACAUCAGGGGAAGAUUUGCUUGAAAUCUUACCCGAACCCAUUCUUGAAACCAUGUCUACAGACUUGUCCGAUCCUGGAGUCUCUGACAACUUAGCGGCCGAACCUAGUCCUAUGACAUUACCAACUCUUAAUUGCUCAGAUUCGGUUAUUGACCCCCCUUUGAGGCGGUCAACGCGUCACAGAUCACCACCUAGGCGACUGCAGUAUGCCCGCUUAGGCAAUCCAUUGAUAUCAGUUGUUCAGUCUCUGUUUCAUAGUCUGUCAGAUGCUUUAACCACCGCAACCACCAAUUCUAACCCUUCAGUCGUACAUAUUGUGUAGUGUUGUCAUGCAACGGGACGUGCAUGUAUUCAAGGGGGGAGGGUGUAACCCAGAGUAAUUUCCUGCACUUAUUUCCUCCCAUUGAACGCAUCACAAAUGCAUGACUCCAACCACAUGACUUUGCUCAGCCAAUCGAAUGGCAUGUAGGUCAUAGUAAGCCUGUCCCGGCUUCCUCCCGUCAGAUGCGUGGAGGCAAGCCAGGUGACAGAGCUGUUGCAGAUGCUGAUUACUGUGAGCCAGAGCCAUAAUGUUGUUGUGCACUGAACAGAAUGGAAUUGGUGAGUUUGAACUUUUAAUUGACUGUUUGUAUUGCUACCAGCUGACCCUAAUCGGCUGCUGCCGGUC